GUCUACAGCCAUAACACUCUGAACGUGCCCCAUCUCCUCUGAUCUUGGAAGCUUGGGAGCUAACUAGGGUCGGGCCUAAUUAGUACUUGGAUGGGAGACCACCUGGGAAUACUGGGUGCUGUAGGGG
ensembl:rRNA 5S_rRNA 5S ribosomal RNA